GCCGAAAUAGCUCAGCUGGUAGAGCAACGCAUUCGUAAUGCGUAGGUCGCCGGUUCAAGUCCGGCUUUCGGCU
rfam:Parabacteroides distasonis ATCC 8503, complete genome.